UACGUAGGUGGCAAGCGUUGUCCGGAAUUACUGGGCGUAAAGGGCGUGUAGGUGGACUGAUCAGUCGGGUGUGAAAUAUCCGGGCUUAACCCGGAGGGUGCAUCCGAUACGGUCAGUCUUGAGUGCAGGAGAGGGCAGUGGAAUUCCCAGUGUAGCGGUGAAAUGCGUAGAUAUUGGGAGGAACACCAGUGGCGAAGGCGGCUGCCUGGACUGUAACUGACACUGAGGCGCGAAAGCGUGGGUAGCAAACAGGAUUAGAUACCCGCGUA
rnacentral:rRNA from 1 species